rnacentral:lncRNA from 1 species
GAGCUGGCUGACUGCUUUUACAGAAAUACUAGUAGCACUUUUCUUUUAUACAGGGAAGUUAUUUAGGAAGCUGCAAGACUCUUCUUACCCCCCUGGGAUGGUUUGGCUUCAAACUGUGCCUUCCAAAGAGCAACUUGCAACUGGCGCGGCCUACUGCUUGUAUUGUAAUUUAUGAACCCAGUGGCUUGAAAGGUUCCUCCUGCUGCAAGGAUCAUGGUCAAAUAUCACCUGGCCCCAAACCUGAGUUUACCUGGGGAUCUACUCCAUGGAUUUGUUGAGAAGCUAAAAUCGUGAUGAUGGUACACAGUUAUCAUCCUGCCCCAUGUUCCUGCAAGUCCUCACACACUAUCAACUUGAAACACAGAAGAGCAUCCAAGGUCCUGAUCCAAGGUCGUUUCUGUUCUGCUCAACACUUUCACGUGGAGGCACCUGCUUGCUUCCUUGUCUGUAAUGAAAUCUGAACACAGGCUUAAAGAUCCGAAAGUCCAAGUGUUGCGACGAACGGAGAUGAACUGGUGGUUUGCCAUCCUGGGCUCAGCCGCUCAUCUCUCCUCAUCCUCUUCAGCAAAAAACGUGAGUAGCUGCAUUCAAAGCAGUACAUAGCAAUCAUCCAUCUCACCUUUGAAGCCUGAGUUUGUUGGCUUUUGGGCUUAAUCAUAACCAUUAGCUUCCAUUUAAUCUCUGAACCCAGUCACCCCGGCUCUCACAAACGUGCCAGCCGCCCUGUCUGCUGAGUCUGUAUAGCCACUGAGCCCUUGUUACCACUCAUUUGAUUUCUCCAUCACCUUUGUUGCCUUGCCUUGAUCCUCACCAUAACAUGGCUGGUUUAUGGUACCUUGCAGAGAAAUUUGGGGGUUCAUUUUCUAAUGCAAUGAGUUAUUUAUUUCUGACAUCCUAAUCUUCUUUUAAGAUCUUUUUUUCUUUUUUUCCUUUUUUUACUGAGCCUUUAGAACAGCAUAUUUCACUGUGUUUAUGUGGUAGAAGCACAUAAUAAAACUAUAACAACUAUUCUAGAAAUUUCA